rnacentral:misc_RNA from 1 species
UCACCUCCCCCUCUUAUCUUCUUGGGCCUGCGCUCAGUGUGAAUCCUUCCCUGACACACACACACACACAUAUACACACACACAUACACAUACAUACACACGUGCGCACACACACACACACACACACACACACGACCUGUUUCCGGCGGUGGCGCCGACAGAGGGCAUGCACUGUUACGGGUGACACCAGAAUCGCGUGCUGUGUUUCUUCAGCCUCUUUCUGCUGCAGCCCCUCCCCCUCCCCCUUGGUUCGUUCUUCCACUUAGGUAAUCGUGCGCACGCCGGGUGCUCACCUGCUGCCGACUCUUGUGUUGUGGGUGUCUCGGUGCACACCGGCGAAGUGCCUGAUCGCUGCGAGCCCCCGGACGUGCGUGUGCGUGCGUUUUGGCUCGCGCGCGGCCUGCAAGGCAACGCCGGCUUACCCUGACACACCGCCACACCACCGACGACACCGGUGGUCUCCUCUGCAUACCAAAGCCAAGCAUCUACGCACCUAUACACACUGGUAUCACCCUGCCGUCUCCCCCCCUCCAUCACCCCGUAUAGCGCGGAUGAGCUGCAGCGUCUGCACUGUCGGCGGGCUACCAGCUUCGUCGAUGCGCUGCUCCGGGACCUCUUUCUCGUGCGAGGGGUAUGCGCAGGAGCGCCUCGUCAGCUUCAGCAGCUCGAACACGACCCCACACCAGACGACGUCGAGGUCGACGGAGCCGGCGCAUCGGUGUGCGUGCCACUCGCGUCUUCCCCGGCAACUUUCGCGACUUUGUGGGUGCAUGAAGCUGGGCGCUACACGCUUGUGGCGGCGUCGCGCCGGGCUGCGGAAGCGACCCGUGUGCCUGUUCGUAGAUAUGGCUCUCUAUAUCAGCUGUUUGCUCGUGACGUGGUGGCUGUUGAGAUGGCUCAAGCGCUCGCACCAACCGUCGGAGGCACAACUGGUGCGCCGUCUGGGACCGCUUUCCCAUCCGUGGGCCGUGCUGGUGCAGCACGAGGGCGCCGUGGGGCGUCUGAACACGAGGAUAUUGGAGGAGGAGCGGCGUGCGCGGUGCGGUAGUGGCCCAGCCGUGAGCGUCGGUGCAUGCAACGAGUCGCUGCUUCUCUCUCCGCACAUGCUGCCCUCGUGGACACUGCACGUGGUGGAGAAGGACUGCGCAGACUGCACCGACCGACAGACGCACGACAGCGCUGUGGAGGGCGUGGAGUUGCAGCCACAGCACGCCGUGUACGCGACGUCGUCUGCACCGCUGGGCCGCGUCGGGCCGAUGCUGCUGGCGAUGACGAGCGUGACGGACGACGUGAAUGUGCGCACGGAGCUGCCGCAGUGGGAGUGGCUGCGGCACGUGUACGGUGAAGGGUUUCCGACCGUGGGUGGCGCUGGCGAGGGGGCUGCGCAGCCGCGGACACCGUAUCUUGCCGUGAUGGGCAUCCCGUCGACGGAUCAGCCGGCGCGUGUUGCGCUUCGUGAGGCACAGCGCAGGACGUGGCUGACGUACCAGGAGGUGGCGCGCACGGAGAACCACUUCGAUGCCGCGCUGCUGGCGCUGUACGUCUUCGCCGCGGUGGAGCCAGGAGCGUCUCUUGAUACGCCGAUGAAUGGAGAGGCGACGGCGGCCGAGCCCAUGAGAGGGGUCGCGCACGUCAACGACUCCGCGAAACUCUGCCAUAAUAGGAGUGCGCUCCUGCCAAGCUUCACAGAGUACAGCGCGGCCUCGCAGGCCCUUGCGGCAGGCAGCGCGAUUGCUGGCGGCCUCGUUGAGGGCGUCGAGCGCCGCCGAGUGGCCCUCCGCAGUAGCUGGCAGCUCGAAGAUGUUGUGAGCUCACCCUGCGAUCGAGUUAUCCGAGUGUCGCACGCGGAGGAGGGAGCCGCAACGCCUGCGCUGACAUAUCUCAGCCGAGCCCUGUCGCUCCCCGUGACACCCGCGUUCACGUCGCCGGCGGAGUACGUCUGCCACGCGUCGUCUGCGCUGUGGCAGGAGGCGCUGACGCACCGCAACGUUGUGUGGAUCGACAUGAUGACGGACCGCCGGCCGACCACGAACAAGAAGAUCGGCGAGGACGGCAAGUGGGGCCUUCCCGUGGAGGUGGGAAUGAGCCAGAAGCUGAUCCUGUGGCUGGAGUACGCGUACCACGCCUUCAAGGAUGUGCCGUUCAUCAUCAAGGGCGAUGACGAUGCCUACGUGAAGGUGCCGCAGUUCCUGAGCGAUGUGCGGUAUGUGAUGGGUGGCAUGCAGGCCCGGCAAGCGUCGCUGCCACUUCGUCGCUGGGUGAGCGGUGCACGUGAAGAGGCGGUAGGUUUUACAGGGGCGACGAAGGCAGCGGCACCGGCGGCAGACGCAGAUGCGUACGCCAACGGAAUGCCCUCUCUGAAAGCACCGCCGCUUGUGGAUGAGGCUGAGUGCGUGUACUGGGGUAGCUUGCGGCAUCACCUGCACACGCAGUUCAACGCCGGCAUGACGUUUAUGAUGCAUCGUCGCGUGGCGCAAGCGCUGCUCGAGCCGAAGGCGAGCAGACACCGACUGGACAUUGUGCGCCUCGCCGCAGAGGACUUUUCCACGAGGCGGACGUCGGCAUACCGGCGCAUCAUGUUCCACCAUGAGGACAUCCUCAUGGGGCUGCAGAUCUACCGCGCCUUGUCACGCGUGAAGGAGUUGUGUCCGAACGGGCGGCUGUGGUACGUGAAGGAGUGGUAUGCUCGGUUUCACGACAUACAUGUUGGGCGGACGCACAACGUCACGUGGUCGACGGUCGUGGCGCACCGCUGUCGUCCGUCUGACUCGUACUUCCUGCACUAUUACUUCCGCGAAGAGCACCGCAUCGCAGCUGCCGCGGGCAGGUACGCCACAGAGGAAGAGCACGAGGCGGCGGCGGUCCAGAUGGCGGCACAGUGGGUGACCGAGAUUCAGAAAGAUCCGCUCAUGAUGGCGCUGAACUGGAGCAGUCUGCCAGAUGUACAGUGGGCGCGGAACAUCUCCCGACGCCCCCCAUUCACGUUGGCCGAAGGCGACGGCGUCGCGAUGUACGAGAACCGCUACGAGUACUGGACGCAUGAAGCGACGAACAUCCAUGACGGGUAUCGCUCGCUUCCGCAGUGGUGAGGAGGCGAACGUGGGUGUGGCGGCACGCUCACCCGACGAGGCUUUAGUCGCACAUACGCUAAGAAGCGUGAGAGCGCUAUUGAAACGCGAAACGGACGGACACACAGAUGAGCUCCCCCCUCCUCCCGCUCCGCCGUCCACACAGCUGUGCGACGGGGCUUGGCGUGCACGGCUGUGUAUGUAUGCGAGCCCUCGCAGCGUCGCGAGCACAAGAAGGGCCGUUCUGUUGCGCUGGCACUUAGCCAGAUAUUCACCGCGGCCGGUUCACCAGGGGCUCCCCACGGGACCUUUGCCGCCUUUCCUCACGACGGCAUCUCUCGCCGUUGUUGUUGAAGAGAAUCGCCAGUUAUUAUCACAGCGGCUGCGGCCGCAGUGGUGCGGGACGUGGGCGCUCCGAUGUAUCCGCCACCUCACUUUUCGAGCUCUUCCGAUUAGUGCGGGGCUUAUUAAUCGUUUUUUUUUUUGGCGUGCCGCCCUGGAGCUCCUGUCAUGACACGGGUCACCGGGCCGUGCGUGUGUGGUGGCAGGCUCUCGGGGUGGUGGUGGCGGACUCUUGGUGUGUGUGGGGGGGGCAGGUGUCUGGGGGCCGGCGCUGCGCCGGCGAGGCUUGCGGCCAUGAUGCCGCUUGCACCGGCUCGCUACGACUCGUGCCGGCAGUCGAAAGAAGGAGCGCACGGAUGCGCCGGCUACUUGUCUGCCUUCGCUGCGUUGCGGUGGCGUGGGGCGCGAUGCGGGGGCGAGCCUGCGCUGUAUGCGGUGACGUGUUGCGGUGGGCUUGGACGGCGCCAGGCGGUGUUGGUGGGGCCCGGUUCCCUGAGGAAUCCUCGAUACAAGUCUGCAUUUGGCAAGGGAGGCGUUUCAUCACCGCGACAGGCCCGCCGAGGCAGUUGAUGACCCCUGGCUUUCAGCAUGGUUGUGCAGUAGGAGAGGAGGAGGGCGGUUCUGGCGUCUCCGUGUUCACGCAACAGGAACAUGCGCACAGGUCUAGGCCCUCCCUCCCCGUUCCCAAGGACAUAGGCUGCAUCAGUGGCGGUCUGGCUUUGCCGCGAUGACCCAACGAGGCGCUUACACACCACGUCCGGAUACACCACUGGCAGCGGACCUCAUGACAUGGGAGGCUCCCUCCAUCAGACGCGAAGCGACGUCGCGCCCAGCCCUCGCGUUGUUCGAAUCUACGCCGACUCGCGCUACUCGGCGUGGGGGCACGAAGGGGCGAUCCGCCCAGGCGGGGGACCACCCCCGCACCACUGGCCUCCAUCACAAAUACGUGACAUACGCAAGCGAUCAAUACACUUCGCCAUGACCUAGCGCAGACGGGCGCCACGGAGACGUCUCCGUGGCGCCCGUCUGCCUCAUGCUGGAUCGGGUCACCACCACCACGGCGUAAAGUCAGCGCUGCGCCGAUGCAGUCCACCGUCCGCCUCGAGGAGGCAUGUAGCUCGGUGCCGACAGCGAUAUCUGGUGCCUCGUCCUACUCUUUUCAGUGAGCGAGCUGGACGCUGCGCUGCGCUCUGAUCUCCCAAUCGAUCCGCAAAAAAAAAGACUGCGCCGAUGCAGCACAGCAACGCAGAGAAGCGAAGGCGCUCCAGCUUCCGAGUGCCGCGUUGACUUGCACCAUCACCACAUACAACCCCUGCAAAACAAAACAACGCAUCAAGGUGAGGAGAAAGGGGGAUCCCCGCCCUCCCCCAUGCCGCCACACCCCCCAACCACCGCAAACCCACGCAAACCUGCAACGCUCCACUCAGUGCUAAGAUAAGUUUCCUAACCGAUGUAACAGCGCCAAGGCCAUCUCAAAAAAAAAAGCAACAACAACCAAAAAAAAAGAUGUCCCAACUGGCAAAACCGCCGAUGGGCCGUUCUGGACGCCAUUGCUCGCACGAGCGGAAUCAGCCUCUCGCGAAGGUGUGCUGCGCGCGUCUCCCGGGCUUGGCCCUCUUUCUCUCUCUGAGAGAGGUCAUUCGAAGGGCCACAAGAGAGUCAGGCUUGUAGGAGGAGCGCCGUCCUGCAAUACGCGCAUCCCUAUUGACCCCUUGAUCAUGGGCGUCCAUCGAGGCUAUCCAUGCCUCGCCUCCCUUGUGCAUCGCGCACCGCACAUACUAG